CUGAUAUUCAUUUAUUGUAUGAAAAACAAUAAAUUCGUUGAAAAAUCAUCAGAACUAUGCCUUGUACAUAAAAGAAUGAACAAUUUGUGAUUCUUUAUUCCUCUAUUAUGACUAGCAGAAAUUUCUUAUUAUUAAUUUUAUUCAUGUAGCAUUUAUUGAUUCAUAUUCAAUACAUAAAAUAUUUCUGAAAUGCCCUUUGAAUAUGUAAAAUAUAUGUCAUGUAUAAUUAAAAAGGAUGAGUUUGAUCUAACAAUUGAAGAUGAGUGAAGAUGACUUUACUUAGACCAUAUGGUAUUUAAUAUAAAAUUACUGGCACAUAUGUUGUAUACUUAGUUAUAACAUACAUAUACAAUUUCCAUAUACUAUUUAUUCCUGUACUUUAUAAUAUGUUUUAGCUAAACAAAAUAAAUAAUGCAAUUUUCUAGAAUAUUUUUGUUUGCAUCUUUUUGUUUUCUCAAAAUGUUAAAAACCUGGUUUUAACAAAUUUUAAUGGUAUUUUCUAAUAAGAUGUGUCCCUAUGAAGAAUGAAACAUGAGGAUUGAAAUCAAACAUUUAGUUUGUAAAACAUUGGUUUUGUAAUGAGUGGUUCCUUUUUGACACAUACAUUAUGUAUGAAAUGCCUUAGCAAAACAAUUGAUAGACAAGUCAAUUUAAUAAGAAAGAAUUCAAAAAUAAUUUCAAUAUGUCAAAUUGACAUAUUUUUUUACAGAAUAUCUACAAUAACUACUUAAGGGUGUACUUAGGUGAGGUUUAGAAAUAUGUGUCAGCUGUUCGGACAACUUGCUUUUUUUCCUUCAAUACAAGGUUAAAUAUUUUGCCCCAUAACUCCCACUUUCGUUUUUAUAUCAGACUUUAAUUUCUCAUAAAAGAUUAUUUACCAAAAUUUAAGCAGAUUCUUUAAUUUGUUUAUUUGGAGUUUAGAAAAUAAUACCAGUGCAAAUUACGUUAAAGUCAGAGGCAAACUUUUACUCACCAUUUAAAAAAUAUCAAUAUCUCGAUAAGGAGCGCCAUACAAAAUCAAUAUUUUUAGCUUAUUUUGAUCCUCAACUAAUGCUCUUUAACUUAUAGUAUCAAUUUAACAUUCUCUAUUUUAUUUAAUUUCAUCUUAGUACAUCCUUACCAAUAGACCAAAUUAGGUAAACAAUACCUAAUGAACUAACUUGAUCCAGUAAAAAUAAACAAGAUAAAUAGCCUUAAAAUGACGCCAAGACCAUGUUGUAAUUUAGACAUGUCAAAUGAGCAUAUAUUUGUUGCACAUGCACAUAUCAACUAUUAUUAUCCAAUUAAUGAAAGUAAGUGAAGAACAGAAAUAAUUCUGAAAUCUUUACAAGAUCAUUAGUUUUAAAAUGAGGUCAAGGUCAAGUGACAAAAAAAUAUUAGCAACCUCAAUAUUAAUUUGAGAUAGCCAAAUGAAAUUGGGGAAAGGAGUAGGUUCAGUAAGACCCCUUUUUGGCCCCAAAAUACAGCAUUUUACAAAAUUGUUAAAAUGUAAUCUUUUAGUUAUUUUUUGGAAAGAAGAAAGCUUCUGCUACAUAACUAUGGGCUGUGUUUGACAAUACAAUGCACAUAUAUUGGGUACUAGCAUCAUUAAGUCAUGCUAAAUUAUUGAAAUCUUCACAAUUUUAGUUAAAUUUUAGGCGUUUUCUGUCUUAAAUGAAAGUGGCCGCAUUUGUGUUCAUUUUUAAUAUUGAAAUGUAAGUUGUAUUUGAUGAUAAUAUAUAACAUACAUAAAGAUUGCGGAUGAACAUGGAUGCAGCCACUUUCAUUUUUGACAAAAACCAUCUGAAAAGUGACAUUUUUAGGCAUAUUUGAUAGAUUUUUCAUAUUUGCUAGAAUCGGAGCAUUUUUAAUAAGUAAAUCAGUUUAAAUCUUUCACAUACACUAAUUGAUUCAACUGAAAUAGACACUUAAGUGUUUAAAAAGUGUCUAAAAUCUUUCGUCAGAUGAACUUGAAAUUUGAGGCCAAAAUUGGCCCUUGCCGGCCCUACUCCUUUAGCUUAUAAAUGGACUUUUAUCACAACCGAGAUAGAAUUAAAAAUCACUUUGCUUUGGCGUUAAGAUAGGUUUUUUUUAUGAGAUCAUCUGACGAACGAACACAAAAUGCUAAUACUAUUUACUGAAAAUUGAAGAAAAAAACAAACAAGUUUUACUUACAUAAAAGCAAGGGGUUUUGCUUUUCAUUUGAUUGCUAUUUUACAUAUUUUCAUUUUUUUAUUCUGACGGAUUGAAUAAAAAGUAUUUGUAUUUGAGAUUUAUUAAUAUGUUAUUCUUACACAAAGUAACUUUUUAAACAAUAAUGCUAUACCCUUUUUGAAAAUAAAUUAAAAUAGCUUUUUUCGCUAAAAAAUUGAAAUAAAAUGGUCCAUUAGCUAAAGUCUUAAACAACUAACUAACAUUUAAGUGAAUUACUAUGAAACCUAUCUUAAUUAUUAAAUUUCUUAAUUUUAAAGAACAAAUUUAGAACGCAAAUUAUUAUGAAUUAUAUCAAAUUUGAAAAAAAAAAUCUUCUGCUCCCUUAGAUGACUGACAGUACCCCCCCCCCCUUUUUCCUCUCGUAUGUGACCAUGCUUGACCAUGCUAUGCUACUUCUACUUAAUGACACUAUAUGGGCUAUAUGCCAUUAAAUCAUACACUUGUGAUUUGUCAUGUAUUACUACUGUUAUGAAAAUAAAUCCAAUGUUGUAUGUAAACAAGUUAACUUUAAAAAUGACAAUGCCAUAAGGGUACAGAUUUCACAAAAAUGUAAAAUCUGGCAAAAUUGAAUCAUGUCCAGUUUAAUUAUCUUUCCCUGGAAUUAAAAUGUUUAAUUUUAUUAAAGUUAUCAACAAGACUAAUGUUUUCUAAUAAAUAAAACAGAAAAAUUGUGUACCACAUUCUUAAUGAAUGCCUUAUUCAAAGAGUUAAAAUGUCCUUACAAAUUGUAUUUCUAUGUUUAUGGAUUUAUCUAUGCUUGAAAAUUUAUUUAAAAUAAAACAAAGUACUAAAUCGAAAUUGGCUCCAAUUAUACAUGCCCAUUUUAACAAUAAUAAUAAGACUAAUACAGUAAUGUUUUGUAAAGUACAAACCUGAAAGGUGUCAGUUCUUUGGAUUUCAAAAAAUCCACAAUACUACUUGUGCUUCAACUCAAGUCAUUACAACAUUAUCACAGACAUAUAUAUUGCACAGAUACUUUAAUAAAAUGGACAACUCAUAAGAUACAUAUAUAAU
rnacentral:lncRNA from 1 species